GGCGGGUUAGCUCAGUGGUAGAGCAGAGGAAUCAUAAUCCUUUGGUCGGGGGUCCGAAUCCCUCACCCGCUACCA
rnacentral:tRNA from 1 species